rnacentral:rRNA from 1 species
GGAAUUUUCCGCAAUGGGCGAAAGCCUGACGGAGCAAUACCGCGUGAGGGAGGAAUGCCUUUGGGUUGUAAACCUCUUUUCUCAGGGAAGAAGAUCUGACGGUACCUGAGGAAUAAGUAUCGGCUAACUCCGUGCCAGCAGCCGCGGUAAUACGGAGGAUGCAAGCGUUAUCCGGAAUCAUUGGGCGUAAAGCGUCCGCAGGUGGUUUUCAAAGUCUGCUGUUAAAGACUGGAGCUCAACUCCGGAACGGCGGUGGAAACUUGGAAACUAGAGUUCGGUAGGGGUAGCAGGAAUUCCCAGUGUAGCGGUGAAAUGCGUAGAUAUUGGGAAGAACAUCGGUGGCGAAGGCGUGCUACUGGACCGCAACUGACACUCAGGGACGAAAGCUAGGGGAGCGAAAGGGAUUAGAUACCCCUGUAGUCCUAGCUGUAAACGAUGGAAACUAGGUGUGGCUUGUAUCGACCCGAGCCGUGCCGUAGCUAACGCGUUAAGUUUCCCGCCUGGGGAGUACGCACGCAAGUGUGAAACUCAAAGGAAUUGACGGGGGCCCGCACAAGCGGUGGAGUAUGUGGUUUAAUUCGAUGCAACGCGAAGAACCUUACCAGGGCUUGACAUACUGCGAAUCUUUUUGAAAAGAAAGAGUGCCUUCGGGAAUGCAGAUACAGGUGGUGCAUGGCUGUCGUCAGCUCGUGUCGUGAGAUGUUGGGUUAAGUCCC